rnacentral:rRNA from 1 species
AACCUUUAGCUAAACAAAUAUUAAAGGCAACGCCUGCCCAGUGAAUAAUUAAACGGCCGCGGUACCCUAACCGUGCAAAGGUAGCAUAAUCAUUUGUCUACUAAUUAUAGACCAGUAUGAAAGGCAAAAUGAGGGUCCAACUGUCUCUUAUGAUAAAUCAAUGAAACUGAUCUUCUAGUAAAAAAGCUGGAAUUCCCCCAUAAGACCAGAAGACCCUGUGAAGCUUAAACUAAACUAUUAAACCCUAUAAUAGCUACUUUCGGUUGGGGCGACCUUGGAAAAAAAAAGAACUUCCAACACAAUGACUAUAACUCAUACAACCCUAGGCCUACAAGCCAACAAUUGACCCAGCACAGCUGAUAAUCGAACCAAGCUACUCCAGGGAUAACAGCGCAAUCUUCUUCAAGAGCCCAUAUCAAAAAGCAAGGUUUACGACCUCGAUGUUGGAUCAGGACAUCCUAAUGGUGCAGCCGCUAUUAAGGGUUCGUUUGUUCAACGAUUAAUAGUCCU